rnacentral:tRNA from 1 species
GGCGCUAUAGUGUAGUGGUUAUCACUUGGGAUUCUGAUCUCCGGUUGUUCCCAAAACCCAGGUUCGAGCCCUGGUAGCGCCU